rnacentral:tRNA from 1 species
CGGCGCAGCGGGCCUGGCGCUGAUUCGGGCGGUCUGCGCCGCCGCGGAGCCGCUGGAUGCGGCGCGCCGGCUGAUCGCCGCCGCCAGCGCCGA